rnacentral:rRNA from 1 species
UACGGGGGGGGCAAGCGUUGUUCGGAAUUACUGGGCGUAAAGGGCGCGUAGGCGGCCUGCUAAGUCGGACGUGAAAUCCCUCGGCUCAACCGAGGAACUGCGUCCGAUACUGGUGGGCUUGAAUCCGGGAGAGGGAUGUGGAAUUCCAGGUGUAGCGGUGAAAUGCGUAGAUAUCAGGAAGAACACCCGUGGCGAAGGCGGUUCUCUGGGACGGUACUGACGCUGAGACGCGAAAGCGUGGGGAGCGAACAGG